rnacentral:rRNA from 1 species
CCUACGGGAGGCAGCAGUGAGGAAUAUUGGUCAAUGGCCGCAAGGCUGAACCAGCCAAGUCGCGUGAGGGAUGACGGCCCUACGGGUUGUAAACCUCUUUUGUCAGGGAGCAAAGGGCGCCACGCGUGCCGCUUUGCGAGUACCCGAAGAAAAAGCAUCGGCUAACUCCGUGCCAGCAGCCGCGGUAAUACGGAGGAUGCGAGCGUUAUCCGGAUUUAUUGGGUUUAAAGGGUGCGCAGGCGGAAGGGCAAGUCAGCGGUAAAAUUUCGGGGCUCAACCCCGUCGUGCCGUUGAAACUGGGGUUCUUGAGUGAGCGAGAAGUAUGCGGAAUGCGUGGUGUAGCGGUGAAAUGCAUAGAUAUCACGCAGAACUCCGAUUGCGAAGGCAGCAUACCGGCGCUCAACUGACGCUCAUGCACGAAAGCGUGGGUAUCGAACAGGAUUAGAUACCCGAGUAGUC